UACGAAGGGGGCUAGCGUUGCUCGGAAUCACUGGGCGUAAAGGGCGCGUAGGCGGUCGUGACAAGUCACUUGUGAAAUCUCCGGGCUUAACUCGGAACGGUCAAGUGAUACUGUCGGACUAGAGUACAGAAGGGGCAACUGGAAUUCUCGGUGUAGCGGUGAAAUGCGUAGAUAUCGAGGAGGAACACCUGCGGCGAAGGCGGGUUGCUGGGCUGAUACUGACGUGAGGCGCGAAAAGCCAGGGGGAGCGAAACGGGG
rnacentral:rRNA from 1 species